rnacentral:rRNA from 1 species
AACGAACGCUGGCGGCGUGCUUAACACAUGCAAGUUGAACGAGAGGCAGUAGCAAUACUGUAGUAAAGUAGCAGACGGGUGAGUAACACGUGGGAAACUUCCUUUUAGUAAAGAAUAGCCCAGGGAAACUUGGAUUAAUACUUUAUACGCCCUACGGGGGAAAGAUUUAUCGCCUAAAAGAUGUGCCCGCGUUAGAUUAG